CCUACGGGAGGCUGCAGUGGGGAAUAUUGGACAAUGGGGGCAACCCUGAUCCAGCCAUGCCGCGUGUGUGAAGAAGGCCCUCGGAUUGUAAAGCACUUUCAGUGAGGAAGAACGCCUGGUGGUUAAUACCCAUCAGGAAAGACAUCACUCACAGAAGAAGCACCGGCUAACUCCGUGCCAGCAGCCGAGGUAAUACGGAGGGUGCGAGCGUUAAUCGGAAUUACUGGGCGUAAAGCGCGCGUAGGUGGCUUGAUAAGCCGGUUGUGAAAGCCCCGGGCUCAACCUGGGAACGGCAUCCGGAACUGUCAAGCUAGAGUGCAGGAGAGGAAGGUAGAAUUCCCGGUGUAGCGGUGAAAUGCGUAGAGAUCGGGAGGAAUACCAGUGGCGAAGGCGGCCUUCUGGACUGACACUGACACUGAGGUGCGAAAGCGUGGGUAGCAAACAGGAUUAGAUACCCCUGUAGUC
rnacentral:rRNA from 1 species